rnacentral:lncRNA from 1 species
UUUGCGUUUGACAUCUACAAAUAGAAAGGACAAAGAUAGAUUAGAAUAUGAAUCCCUAAUUAUCACCCAAUAAGAAAAAUUAGGGCUAGGAUCCAACAACAAUAUUUACAUAUUAGAAAAGGGAUGCCGUAAUCUAAUAUGCAAACAAUUUGAAGGUAAGUGAAUGACGAUUCACUAAUUCUCCACCAUGAAAACCUAACUAUAAGUUCUAAAUGUAUUGAGAAUUCAUAGGUUUGGAUGAGAUUCAUUGAAACAUUUCAAUGGCAUGUUUAAAUCUCGAUAUGCCCCUCUCGUUUGUGACUGGGAUACUGAGGAUCACAAAGCGGGUGUGAAUUCCCAUGCAAAUUCACAUGGUGCCUUCAUUGUAACGAUCACCUAUUCGAUGUGUCGGUAAACCACACACGCUCCAUCGAACUAUGAUAAACAAUGAAUCACCCUUUGCCACCUUUGCUUAGAACCAAUUAGUGUGCGGGUAAACCACACACGCUCCACUAACUUCUUAGCAAGGGUGAAAAGUGCAAUUUCAUGGGAUUGCAUCAAUUCAUUUUCCUAAAGUAACUAGGAUUGGGAAAUUUUAAAAAAUAUGUAGUUACUUUGUAUUUCAUAUUAUAGUUUUAAUGAGAGGAUGAGGUUGCCCUAUCCUACCCGUUCGGCUAACGACCCUCCACCGAUCAAGCAAGCGGUUAUAUUAUAUUAGUAUAGGGUUGUAUUUUAAACUUGUAAAAUUCUAGGGUUUGAAAUUUAAAUUUUCUAAAUUAAACUUUUAAUCACAAAACACAAAUUUCAAAACUUGAGGGCAAGUUUUAAACAUUUAAAAAAAAACAUGGCGGAUCAAAUAACAAAUAAUCUUAAUUAACAAUUAAUUCCAUAAUUAUCCAUAUUUGAUUUAUUCAAGGAUUUCUUAAAAAACAAUUUACCAAUUUAAUCAAAAUAAUUAACAAUUAUCACAUGAGGAAAUUAAAUAUUUUAUUAAUUGCUAAAUAUCAUCAACUAGAUAAAAAAUAUAGACAUAUAUAUCAUAAAAUCGGAUUUAGGUUGAUCUAAUAUGAUAAAGGUAAGUUUCCAUAAGAUAAAUAUCAAAAAAUCCCGAAUUUGGCCCUUCCUGACGCUCGGACUCGCCGAGUACCCACUCUGGACUCGCCGAGUCAGGCCAACUCGCCGAGUCCACUAUGGGACUCGCCGAGUUCAUGACUCAGAAACACAAAUUUCGAAUUUUUCAAGUAAGAUUCAAACAAACAAGCAACAAUUUAAUAGAAACCAAUCUAGGCUCUGAUACCACUGAUGGGUUUUGGCCAUAUGAACAUUCCUAUGUGCACAUGCAAACCCUAAUGCUUGGAUCUAGGUUUCUCUAAUUAAACAUGCUUUGAAUCCAAGACUUCUAAUGACUAAUUAGGUAUAAGAACAAUACAAAAUCAGAUCUAGAAGUUUACCUUUGAAUCUCUUGUUUGAUCUUGUUGUCUUGGAGCUCUAGAGUCACAAUUGUCACUCCUCUAAUGGCUUACAAACACCAACUAGCAAGGAGGAUGAUUUAAGAGAGAGGAGAGGGAUUAGAAAUCGGCUAGGGUUUCUUUGCUUUAGCAGAGGUGCCGAUUUCCCUUGCCCUAGGGGUCUAUUUAUACUUGUAAGGCUUCUAGGGUUUCACCCUUAAACCCUAGUUGGAUAAUCUUUCCUUAAAGAAAUCCAAAUCCUUUCCAUGAUAAGUCCUUGGACGAAUUUGAGGCUAUCCCAACCCCUAGAAUUCGUCCAACCCUAGCCAAGAAGGAUUUACAGCCCAAAGUGUAACUAUCAAACAAUUGACAGUUUAUACCCUCUUAUUUAAUUAAUCUCUUUAAGUCACCAAAUUAAUACUAAUUAAUCUAUGACUUAUAUUAAUCAAAUAACAAUAUUAUUAUUCCUUAUAUUAUUCUCAUAAUAUAUUAAUAAUAUUUAUUCUCUCAUAAUAAAUCAUCCUAUCAAGUUGCUAUGGUGAAGGCAACCCAAAAGGACCAUGCACAAUCGGGUCAAAUACUUGCCUAAUAUAGUUGCAGCCUUAGACACUAUUCGAACAGUAAAGUUUUAGCCAAGAUCCGCGAUAAAGUCUCUAGCAUUGGCAGACUUUGUGGCUGACUUUAGUGAUGAUGUAAGGGACGAAGUAGAAAUAGAAGCCAAACAAAUUCUAGAAGAAGAAAACAUGGGAAGAUGGACACUAUUAACGGAUGGUGCAUCAAACCAAAGAGGAACUGGCUUGGGGAUCAUACUAAAAUCGCCAUUGGGGGACAUCCUAUCCCCAAGCAAUCAGCUGUUAAUUCAAUGCAACCAACAACGAAGCAGAAUACAAGACACUAAUCAAGGGAUUAUAGUUGGCCAAAAAUCUUUAAAUCAAGGAUUUUCAGGUAUUUGUCGAUUCUUUACUAUUGACUAACCAUUUUAAUGGAUCCUAUGCAGUAAAAUGAGAGAACUUAGCAUUAUAACUCUAGAUACUCAAAAACUUGGCCUUAGAAUUCGAAGCAUUUAGCCUAAACUAGUUUCCUAGAAAAGACAAUGUUGAAGCAAAUGCCUUAGCCAAUCUAGGAUCCCGAUUACCCACAUAUUAAUCUCAUCAAUCGAGGAUCCUGCCAAGAGAAUGAAGAAUACCAAUGAUCACAUUAAAACUACUAACAUCGCGACAAUCAAAGAUCCCGAUUUGACACUUCCAUACCAGGAUCGUAACUGUUGGAUUAGGUGUCUAAGCUCAUAACUAUAAUUGGUAUGUACUUGACCCGAUAGUAGCAUGGUUCAUUUUGGGUUGCCUUCACCAGAACUAUUUGAUAGCUGGAUAUUUGAGUAAGAGGUUAUUUAUGAUUUAUUAAUAUAUUAUAAGUAUAAUAUAUUAAUUGAGAAAUCAUAUUAUUUAAUUAGUAUUGAUCAAAAAAUUAAAUGAGAAUUAAUUUUAUUAGCAAAAGAGAGUAAUUGAAUUGAUACAUAUGACUUGGGCUAAUGAUCCAUGGUUUGGUUUGUGAUUGUGAUUAUGGGUUAAUCCAUGAAGUGUUUAUCCAAAUCAAAUGAAUGGAUCAUGGGCUAAUGUGUAUGGAUUAGGGUUACACAUGACCUUUGAUAUUAUCUCUCUCUCUCUCUCUCUCUCUCUCUAUAUAUAUAUAUAUAUAUAUAUAUAUAUAUAUAUAUAUAUAUAUAUAGUGCUAAGACCUAAAAUUGACUACUACUUGCAUUCCAAGAGGGAAAUCGGUUUUAGAGUCUCCUUAGCCUCUCUCAUAUCCAUUUAAUUGUUAUUUGGUGUUUUUGAGUUGUUUGAGGCACAACACUUGGGGUGCUAAGUCCUCACAAGGCCACAGUCUUACUAGCAAAAUCAACAACAUCAAGAGGUAGCCCUACAACUUGUUUUAUUAUUCAUAUGCUAAAUUUUUGUAUGCUAGUUUAGGCUUCAUGUUUUGGAACCAAUGUUGCAUGUAUAAUUAGAGAAAACUUAGAUCCAAAGCAUUCGGGUUGCAUGUGCACCAAAGGAAUACAUAAAACCCAACAGUGGUAUCAGAGACUAGGAUGUUUUCUAUUGUAUUGAUGCAAUUGUGUAAUUUUCAAAGCUGAAAAAACUGCAAAACUGGAAUCUGCCAGGGCCUACUCGACGAGUCCAUAGAUGAACUCGAUGAGUAGGUGCAUUAUGAUGAUGAACUUGUCGAGUUCAUCAAUGCACUCGACGAGUUUGACUGUCUGUGAGUAGAAUUUUUGAGAUUUUGGCAUGUUUUUGACUUGGAACAUUACCGCAAACUGUUCUGGUUCAUAAAAUUUGAAUUUAAUGAUAUGGAAAUGUUAAUCCCCAUCCAAAACAUGAUGUUUGUCGAAUUCUAAGAUAACUACUUGAUUUUUGGUAAAUACUAGUUAUUUGUAAAAUUUGAAGUCAUUCAUGAAACAUGAACAAAUUAGGUCAAGUUGGUAAACAAUCAUCCAAUCAUAAUUGGACUAGUUAAUUUGAUCUAUGUGUUUUAUUGAUUAAGUUCCGUAACUAGUCCUCAAGUUAUGGAACAUGAAAAUUCUUUAUUUACGAAACCAUUAACUAAUGUAAGUUAUCGAAUUCUAUGAGUCUUGGAUGGUUUCAUAACUUGUACAUAAGUUUGGAUUGAAAAAUUCUAAUUCAUGGAACAUAAAAGUUCAUAAAUUAUGAAUUUUCAAAAGUAUUGACAAGUUACAAAACUUUCCCUCAAGUUUUGGAACUUAAAAAGUUACAUUAAUGAAACUUUAAUUUCGAACCCUAGAGUUUUAAAAAUUUAAAAUUCAACCCUUAUAUUAUUAUAAUAUUAAAGUUUAAUAAUUAUAUAUAUAUAUAUAUAUAUAUAUAUAUAUAUAUAUAUAUAUAUAUAUAUAUAUAUAUAUAUAUAUAUAUAUAUAUAUAUAUAUAUAUAUGUAUGUAUGUAUGUAUAAGAUAAGUCAGUCUUACCGUUAGUAGGCCCCAUUCACGAAGCCGGUCUAUAAGGGGGGUAUAAAGUUACCGCCUGUAAAAUGAUGAUUUAAUGUGUGUCCACUCUCACCCACCGCUUCCUUGACUAGUGGAGGGUCGUUAGCCAAACGGGUAAGAUAGGACACUAAUUCUCAUUAAUAAGUAUAAUUAAAAUUAUGAUAGUAACUAAACUUUUAUAAAUUCCCAAUGUUAGUUACUUUAGGAAAAAAUGUGAAAAUGGUGCUAUUCCAUGAAAUUGCACUUUGCACCUUGUUAAGUCGUUAGUGGAGCGUGUGUCGUUAACCGACACACUAAUUUGGGACUGACGAUGUGUGGCUUGAUGUUAAUCAUGGAUCAAUGGAGAGUGUGUGGUUAACCGACACAUUUACUAGUUGAUUGGUAACAUUGAGAGUACCAAGAUAAUUUUCAUGGUUAUUCACAACUUAUUUGUGAUCCUCGGUAUCCCAGUCACAAACUUGAAGGGCAUAAUCGAGAUUUAGACAUGCUAGUGAAAAGUUCAACGAAUCUCAAAAGAAUAUAGGAAUUUAAAUUCAUUUAAAACCUAAACUUCAAUUUCAUUUUUCAUGGUGGAAAUUGGUAAAUCAUCAUUUACCUACAUUCAAAUAUUUUACAAUUGGAUUACGACAUCCCUCUUCCAAAUUGUAGAAUAUUGUGUUGGGUCCUAGCCUCAAUAUUCCAUUUUGGGUGUUGUAUUAAAGAUCCUUAUCUAAUCUAAAAUUUGUUUUCCUUUUCAGAUGUCUACUUCAAACAAUGCUUCCAACCCAAUCCCUUUCGACUCUUUCUCCCUCAUGAACUUAUGUGGGAGGGUCCUCUUCGAUGGAUCGAAUUUCAAUGAUUGGAUUCAAAACAUAAGAAUGACAAUUCAUUAUGAGGACAAAGAAUAUGUCCUUCAUAAAGAGGUUAAGGAGAUUGAUGAAUUUACUGCUACUCCCAAAUAGAUUGUUGAGUAUAAAAAUCAUGAGAGGGACACAACCAAAGUGUCGUGUAUAAUGAUCACUACCAUGACUGCUGAGCUCCAAAAGUCAUAUGAGGACUUUUGGCCUUAUGAAAUGCACCAGGAAUUGAUGGAAAGGUACCAUCAAAGUGCUCGGCAGGAGAGGUAUGAGAUCAUUGCCUCCAUGAUCACGACCAAAAUGAAGGAUGGAGAGUCCAUCACAGCCCACUUGCAAAAGAUGCAAAGGUUUGUGGAUCGCUUGCUAAAACUGAAUGUCAAUUUCGAUGAAGAAUUGGCAAUUGAAAUUAUCCUACACUCCUUACCUCCUUGUUAUGAUCAGUUUUGUAUGACUUAUCAUAUGAACAAGGAAGAGGUGACUCUAAGCAAGCUUCAAGGUCUCUUGAGAACUGUUGAAAGCAGUUUGAAAGUGAAAUUUGUUGUACCUACUCCUACUAUAACUGCCUUUGUCUUGGCUAUUGGACAUGGAAAGGGAAAGAAGAGGAAGACUCCUUCCAAGAGUUAUAAGGGAAAGUCCCAUGCUAGAUCCUCUUCUAUUGGAACCAAAUUUGGUUCCGUCACACCCUCUUCCAAUCCAAAGGAAGCCGAGUGCUUCCAUUUCGAUGAAAAAGGGCACUAGAGACGAAGCUACCCAAAAUACUUGCAGGACAUAAAUGAUGGGAAAAUCAAACCCUCCUUUGCAAGUAUUUAUACUAUUCUAUCUAAUAUCUCAUCACAUGCUAAUUCUUGGGUCCUUGAUACAGGAUGUGGCUUACAUAUUUGUUCUGAUUUGCAGGGACUAAAAAGAAGUAGGGAUGCAGAGCACGGGAAUAUGAACUUAAUCAUGGAGAAUAGGCGAAAGUCGCCUGUCACCAAGAUUGGAGUUUACUCUUUAUUGCUUAGUGUCACACCUCGAAACCAGGAUGGCGAAAUCGUUCCGGGGUGGAGGACGUCAUGUUUAGCAUCACAACCAUUAUAGAAUAGCAAUCAUAGUAACACAACCAUUACAAUGGAUAUAUACAUAUAUAUAUAUAUAUAUAUGUGUGUGUGUGUGUGUGUGUGUGUGUGUAUAUAUAUAUAUAUAUAUAUGAUAAAUGUUUAAGUCAGUCUGAAAUUUGUUUCAAUUACACUAGAAGUAUGUAGAAUAUAAAAAAACAUGACUCUUAUUGCUCCAGCUCCUCUAAAUUCAAGAAGUACAUGUCUACCGAUUUACUGAGAAUACAAGCAGUUUGAAAGAAUAUCAACAUAAAGCUGGUGAGUUCAUAAGCAUUUAGUUUUGAUGGAAAAUGUCCUUCGAUUCUUAUGAAAAGUGUUCUUCAAGAAAAUCCCAUAUUUUCUUAUGAAAAGUAGUGUUGAAAAAGUAUCUAUUAGUAGAAACUAAACCAUCAGUUUUAGAAAUGCCGGUGUUAUCCUGGAAAAUCCCAUAUUUUCCCUAAAAACUGGUUAACCAUCCUAGAGGUAGAGAUGCAAGUUUAGAAAUCCCUGAUUGCUAUCAGUGUAUUUAUGAAAGUCGUUUUACUACUCAAAAUAAAACAAUGAAGAGUAUAGUCCGUAAACCAAAGUUAGUUUAUACUUAUUUGCGAGUCGUAUAACCAUGCUUGAUAUGACCGAGAGACCUUUAUAAUGUUCUUCAGGCGUUAAGCUAAAUGAAAUUUGUUCACCUCAAGCAUGCAUGCCUAACUGUAGCUAACAGUUCAGGUGUGGGAUUGUCAGUCCCGAAUAGAUCUAUUCACAAAUCUCACGCUCUCCCUCAAGGAGACUUUGGUUAUACUAAAAGGAUUUAUCCCUGUACACCUAAGGGUAUAGUAUUGAAGUAGAGCCUCACAAUUAUGUAUAAUCUAGUUUACGAGCUAGAGAUAGUAUAGAACAAUAUUUAUCCUUGAAUAAAUGUACUUUAUACUCCUGAGAAAAUAUAUAACCUAAACUAAAUCUGUCAUAGUUUAUACAUAAUCAUCCAUGAAAUCUGAAUUGGUAGAAACUGCCUAGAAGGUUAUCCCAAACUAUACCCAUUAUAGUUUAUUAGAGUUGAUAUGGAAAAUUCUUUGUAAAAAACUUUCUGAAAGCUAUGAAGGUAGAUUUCCAAAUUAAAAGUUUCCCAUAUGCUCAACAUAUUACAAAAAGGGAUAAAAUAUCCGAAUAUGUUAUUAAGCAUGGAAAUCAUUGGACUGUAUUAAUAUGUUUAAAACUUAAUAAAAUACUUUGAGUUUUACUUGUAUUCCCCCUGAAAACAUUAAAAACAUAGUAAAUGUAGGGGUAUGAACUCACCUCAGGCGAGUGGUUUGAUUGAAGGAUCGAUACGGAAAGCUGGAUGUUCAAGUGAAGCCUUGAACACAAUUUGAUCCUAAUUACCACGUCAUGACACAUAUAUGAGUCAAAUGAGGGUAUUUCACUACUAGAUGUGAUGGAGAACCACUCUAGGGACUUGGAACUACUUCCACUAAGCGUAAGGACCUUAAAGGAUUGCAUGAGGGAGAUGGAUGGCCACCUUAAAGGUGUGUGCGGCCAUGGGUGUGCGGCCGUACACUCAUGAUGGGAGUUUCCUUUGUGGUGUUUUCAAGGUCCAUACUUGCAUCAAUGAAUAUCGAACAGACAAUGGAUAAUACUAGUUACGUAUACAUAAAUAUCGAACAGACAAUGGAUUAUGUGGAUCUGCCCUAAGCCCACAACCAAACAAGGAAGAGGAAGUGUGGCGGAAACCACAUACUUCACGCUCUAUCGAGUAUACUUCAUACGUAACCCUGAUGCAUAAACUAAGGGGUUAUAGAACUAACUAUGAAGGUAGUAUAAGAAACAUAUUAGUUUGUAUGUUUGGUUACUACUAGCAUGCAUGAUAUAUUCUGUUUGAAAAACCUGGUUACCACCAGUAUGUAUAGUAUAUUUUGUUUGAUUUGUACAAAAACUCUUGUAUGAAAUCCUUGGCUAUCACCGGUAAUGUAAACAAUGUAUAGAAUGUUAUUCUGAUUAUUUUUAAAGUACUGAUGUAUAUCUGAGAAAAUCCUAUGUUUUCCCUUGAGUAUGUGUUUUUGCUUUAAUGGUUCUGAAACUGUAAGGCAUAAGUAUUUUCCAUACUUAUGUUAUUAAAGAAAUUGUUCGUGAGAAGUAUAUUAUUACUUAAAUAAAUUGCUACUAUCUACUGGCGACUCUUAUGACCAUAUUAAACUGAUACGGCGUGAAUCAGACGCCAAUAUCCGUUUUGACUUUGUUACCCGUAGACCUACCGGUCCUAUUGUAGCUAACAGCAAGGUGUGGGGAUGUCAGUCCCGUAUAGAUCUAUACACAAAAUCAUGUUCUCCCUCGAGGAUUCUCUGGUUCAUAAGGGUAGUCCUCCACUUAGUUAUGUUUGUAAGUGCCAAAGGACGUGUCUCCCAACUAGAUUAACGGCUUUACAAGUAAUAAUACGUGAAACAUAAUGUUCUUUUGUACUUUAAUUCGAAGUACGUCUUGUAGAAUAAAAAUAAUUAUACUUUAAUAAUUAUCUAUUAUGGUACUCUUUUAUCCAAAAAGUGGUAAUGUAUGCCAUAAACUAUACCUGUCAUAGUUUAAAUGAUUGUUAAUUUAAAAUCUUGAUAAAGUAAAACCGUGUAUUGAAAACUCAAACUAUACCUAUUAUAGUUUGUAUGUUAUGUACUUGAUUUGUACAUUGUUUCUGAAAACUAUGCAAUUAUAUAUAUUUGUUUAGCAGAAAUUGUCCCUUAUGCUCCGCAUAAUACAAAAGGGAUAAAGUAUAUAAAUGUUUAAUGUAAAACCGUUGAAAUUGCAUUAGNCUAUGCAAUUAUGAUUUGAAAGUGUCCCUUAUGCUCCGCAUAAUACAAAAGGGAUAAAAUAUCUAUAUAUUUUAUGAAAAUCGGUAGACUGUAUCAAUUGCAUAAGUUUUAAUCAUGUUUGAAAACCUUUGGUUUUUAGUUCACAAAAUCAUUUGUAUUUGGCUUGUAUUCCCCACCCCCCUGAAAACAUAUAAAACCAUAAAAGCGUAGGGGUAUGAACUCACUGUUUGAUGUGUGUAAACGUUGAACUGGAAGAUCCCUGAGUUGUUAUACGUGGCACUUAACGGAAUCGUAAUACUAAAUAAAUACAUAUAUGUAUCUAAAUUAGCGAUUUCGUUAUAUAAAGUGUUGGGAAAACACUUGCUUUCGGUUAAGGAAUGUUACCGGGACUUGAUUGAAUCGAGAAAACGAGUUUUUCACUGCUUAAGAGGCAUGUAAGGCCGUGAAUAGGGGUGUACGGACGAACAAGCAGUGUACGGACGUAAACAGGGUGUAUGGCCGUGAACUCUUCUUUGAGGUGUGUACGGCCCUUUGCAGAUUUGAAGGGUGUACGGUCGUACGAUCAAUAACAAGGGUGUUUGAUUUUGAAUAAAAUGUGUUCCAAAUGCGCCUAAUCGGUUCUAAAUGACGAUUUUCGAUGUUCUUCCAUGAAGUGUAAACUCUCGUCUAGUUCGAUCUCAUCGAGAGGUAUCGCAAGUGUCUCAUCGGACAAACACUUCUUUAGGUUUGACACAUGGAAGGCAAGAUGUAUGUUGCUAAGUUCUCGGGGUAAACAAAGUUUGUAUGCUACGGGACCGAUCCUAGCAAGGAUCUCGAAUGGUCCAAUGAAUCUUAGAAUUAUCUUUCCACACUUUCCGAAGCGUAUCAUGCCCUUCCAGGGUGAGACAUUCAAUAGAACAUGGUCACCAACCUGGAACUCCAAGGGUUUUCAUCUCUUAUCAGCGUAGCUCUUUUGUCUGUCUCAUGAAGAUUUUAGUCAUUCCCGGAUUUGUAUGAUCUUUUCGGUGGUCUCUCGGAUGAUUUCUGGACUAGUGAGAGUGCUAUCAUGGACACGUACCUUGGAUAGCUGCGUGUCGCCCACCUCAGCCCAACACAGAGGGGAUCUGCACUGAUGACCAUAAAGGGCUUCGAAAGGCGCAUCCUUGAUACUGGUAUGAUAACUGUUGUUGUAGGAGAACUCAACCAAGGGUAAAUAGACGUCCCACGACUUACCAAAAUCAAUUACACAUGCUCUUAACAUGUCUUUCAAUGUCUGAAUGGUUCUCUCACUUUGUCCAUCUGCUUGUGGAUGGUAAUCUGUGCUCAUAUCUAGCUUAGUUCCUAGAGCUUUCUACAAUGACUGCCAAAAUCUUAAGGUGAGUCUGUUAUCUCGAUCGGAGAUGAUGGACACAGGCACACCGUGCAGGCGAACUAUCUCUUGGAUGUAGAUUCGUGUAAGUCUUUCCAUCUUGAAAGUUUCUUUGAUUGGUAGGAAGUGGGAGAAUUUGGUCAAUCGGUCCACAAUUACCCAUAUGGUAUCCUACCCACCCGGAGAUUUGGGUAAUUUAGUGAUAAAAUCCAUAGUAAUCCUCUCCCACUUCCACUCAGGUAUUUCCGACUGCUGAAGAUAACCUGAGGGCUUCUGAUAUCCGACUUUCACCUUGGCGCAAGUCAGGAACUUGCCUACGAAGGUAGCGAUCUCUGCUUUCAUGUUCGGCCACCAAUAUAACUUCUUGAGAUCUAGGUACAUCUUAUCCGAACCUGGGUGAACGAAGUAUCUAGUCAUGUGAACUUCGUUCAUGACAACCUCCCUGUAACCACCGAACUUUGGGGUCCAGAUCCGGUCCAUGAAAUAAUAGACUCCGUCUCCCUUGAUCUCUAAGUUCUUCUCCAUUCCUCUUAAGGCUUCAUCCGACAUGUUCGCUGGUUUUAAGGCUUCCACCUGAUCCUCUCUGAUUUGAUCAGAUAAAUGGGAAUGUAUGGUCAUUGUCAUCGCCUUCACUCUACGACCUAAAUAAUCCUUUCGACUGAGGGCAUCAGCUAACACAUUGGCCUUGUCGGGAUGGUAACAUAUUUCACACUUAUAGUCAUUCAGUAGCUCCACCCAUCGCCACUGUCUCAUGUUCAACUCUUUCUGAUCGAAGAUAUGUUAUAGGCUUUUAUGGUCGGUAUAGACAGUGUACUUGGUUCCGUAGAGAUAAUGUCUCCAUAUCUUUAAUGCAAAGACCACUGCUCCCAAAUCCAAAUCGUGAGUUGUAUAGUUGACUUCAUGUGCUUUCAGCUGCCUUGAGGCAUAAGCAAUAACCUUUCCUUGCUACAUGAUCACACAGCCUAGGCCCUGAUUGGAUGCAUCACAGUAGACAACGAAGUCCUCCGUCCUUUCAGGCAGAGAAAGGAUAGGUGCGCUGCAUAGGGCCUGCUUUAAUGUUUGAAACACAUUUUCUUGCUUUUUUCCCCAACAAAAAGGUACACCUUUCUGGGUCAGGGUGGUUAGAGGCUUAUCAAUCUUGGAGAAAUUCAGGAUAAAUCUACGAUAGUAGCCAGCAAGGCCCAAUAAUUUUCUGUGGGCGUCUUCGGUGCCAACCAAUUCUCUAUCGCUUUGAUCUUGGAAGGGUCCACGUGUAUGCCUUCCUCGCUUACCACGUGACCAAGGAAUGUUACUUAUCAGAUCCAGAAUUCGCACUUAGAGAAUUUUGCAUAUAGCUUAUCUGCCCUUAGAGUCUCCAACACUAGCCUCAAGUUCUGCCUAUGAUCUUCCUCACUUUAGGAAUAGACAAGUAUAUCAUCAAUGAAAACUAUCAUGAACUUGUCUAGGAAAGAGCGGCACACCCGAUUCAUCAAAUCCAUGAAUAUCAUCGGUGCGUUGGUUAGACCAAAGGGCAUUAUUACAAACUCAUAGUCACCAUAUCGAGUCCAAAAUGCUAUCUUGGGAACAUCACCUUCAUGGACUCGUAGCUGGUGGUACCCUGAUCUUAGGUCUAUUUUCAAGAAGUAGCUGGCUCCUUGAAGUUGGUCGAAGAGGUCAUCGAUUCAGGGAAGAGCAUAACGGUUUUUGAUGGUAAGCUUGUUCAAUUCAUGAUAAUCAAUGCACAUCCAAAAAGAUCCAUACUUCUUUUUCACAAAUAAGACCGGGGCUCCCCAGGGUGAGGAACUUGGUCUGAUGAAUCCUUUGUUGAGUAGUUCAUUGAGCUGGUUGGAUAACUCUUGCGUUUCUGCUAGCACUAGAUGGUAUGGGGAUUUAGCUAUGGGAGUAGCUCCGGUAAUCAAGCCAAUAGUGAACUCGACUUGGCGCUCAGGAGGGAUCCCAGGAAGAUCUUUGGGGAAGACAUCAGGAAAGUUGUAUACUUCAGGGAUGCUCUCGAGGUCUUUAACUUCCUGUUUCUCGUUAACAACAUGGGCUAGGAAUGCAUGACACUCCUUUCACAGGAAUUUUUUGAGCAUUGAUGCACGAAAUGAUACAGAGGGUUGAGCUGAGUUUAUCGCCAUAAAUAACGAGGUCUUCACCAAAUGGAAGAUUGAGGCGAAUGGCUUUUUCAUAAAAAGGAUAUCAGCACGAUUGGGGCUCAACCAAUCCAUACCGAUGAUGACGUCGAAGCUCUUUAUGGAAAUUGACAUAAAGUCGAUUGGAAAGGAAUGAUCGUUUAAGGUAAGGAUACAGCCGAUGAAUAUGUCGUUAGUGCAUUCCUUUUUACCAUUAGCCAUCUCAACGGUAAAUGUUUCGCUUAAGGGUUGGGGUUUAUGUUUGAGAAGAUGCUUGAAUGCAUGAAUGACAAAACUUCUCUCCGCACCAGAAUCGAAAAGAAUGCAUGCAUAAAAGAGUUGUCAAAGAGGAACGUACCCGUAACAACGGUUGGAUCAGCUACUGCCUCGUCCUAGCCCAUUGCAAGCACUCUCCAUGUGUUGCCAGUCGUUGUUGCCUUGCGACAAUUUCUCUUGAAAUGUCCAACCUCCACAUAGCCAUAAUGGGCUGGACCAGCGCUUGCUCCAGGAGCCUGAUUGGUUGGUUGGAUUGGUGCCUUGCAUAAUCGAGCGGUGUGUCCUUUCUUACCACAACUGUUGCACAACAACUCUCGGCACUGUCCAUGAUGAUGGAAGUUGCAUUUGUUGCACUUUAGAAGAGUACCAACGUAUCACUGGUAGGCGCUUGGUUGGUUGGGACAACAUCAGGAGUAGUAGCAGCGUGGACUGCCACUAUCUGUUGUUUCUUGGAGGGCUCCUGCGAAGAUUUCCCUUUAUGUUUGUUCCAGAACUUCUUCUUCCCACCGCUCGCCUUUGGUGGUUUGGGAGCGGCUGUUACAACAUCGAGACCAACCCCGUGAUCUAUCAAUGUUUGUGCCAUCCACUUGGCGCUGUUAAAAGUGGUAGGCUUAGUAGCCAACACAUUUCCUUGAGUUAUGGGCGUUAAUCCCCAAAUGUACCUCUCUAUUUUCUUGCUUUCCGGGGUGACCAUUCUUAGACAGAGGAGAGCCAGAUCAUAGAAUCUAGUUGUAUAGGUGGCGAUAUCGGAACCCUUCAUCUUCAAGUUCCAAAUUUCGUGCUCUAACUUCUGCAUCUCGCCCCUUAGACAGUAUUCAGCAAGUAUAAGCUUCUUCAAUCUCUCCCAACAAAUAGCAUUUGCUACUGGCAGGGUUAGGGAUUUGACUCGACCAUUCCAUCAGGUCAGUGCUCUGUCGGUGAAGGUGCAGGGAACGAACUUCACCUUGCUUGCUUCAGAACAAGCGCAAAUCUCGAAGACCGAUUCGAUCUUCUCAAUCUAUAGAGUUGGGGCAAUAAUACCUCCAUUGCCAUCGAAUGAUUUGGGCUUUGUGUUCAUGAAGUCUUUGUAGGAACACUCCUUCUGGUGUCCCUGACUUUCAUCAAGAUUAAGGGGAUGGGUACCACUUCCCGACCCACUAGAGCCACCAAAAUUGAUUUGUGACAUCGCGGCAGCUACAGCGGCGCGUGACUACUGCUUGGAACAUAGUUGGGUCGAACUGAAGAGGUGGUGGCAUCAGAUCCAUUGGGGGAUUGUUGUUCUUCUUGUUGGGUAUUUUCUUCAGGGGCAUCUUGUUCUAAAAAUAAUCAGGAAGAAGAGGAUGGUAAGUCCCCUAGAUUUUUGAAUCAAGAGAUAUGAAAUAAGAUAUAUCUCAACCUGAUAGAUAAAGUGUUCUACUAAGCGAUAAACAAGGAAAUGUUACUAAUGCAAGUAAACUAUCAUUAAGAUGGAAUGAGUAGCAACACUUGAAAUGAAUCUCCACACUGUAUUCGGCUCUAGCUAAAAUACUCCUAUAGUAUUUUAAGUUGUAUGUUUUGCUCUAUGGAUACAUGAUGUAUAUAUACUUGGUAAGUUUUAGGCCUGUUGCAACACCACAGUCACUCCCAAACACAUGUUGGUCAUGUCUCGAAUAAAUAUAGUUUAUUAGGCUAUAUUGACCCUAGACAUGAUUACAUAACUGCACAGGUUUAACCACAGUGUUCCACAUCCAAAUACUUUUGUUUUGUUCCACUUAUGAUACUGUUUUUGGUACGUAUGUAUACUUGUAUACUUCUUAUAAAAUACUUAUAUUUUAAAAGUAUACUUUUAGUUUAGAGUGCUUCAGCCCCUUAGUGUUUAUAGUUGUAUAACAUGUAAGGUUCGGUAUACUUAGUUCACUAUAAACAAUAGCUCUGAUACCAAUUUGUCACACCCCCAAACUGAAACAGCGGAAAUGUUCGGGGGUGGAUGACAUCAUGUGUAGUAUCAUAACAAUUGCAUAAUCGUAAUCAAAGUAAACACCACCAUUACAUUGAAUAAUAGAAUAUUUACAUUAUUUUGAUACAUAAUUUGAUUAUAUCAAAAGUAUAGCAAAAUAAAGACGAGACUCUAUAUGCUCCGUGUUCUCAAAAGUCUGCCGAGGUACCUGUCUACUUAUUUCCUGAGAAUACAAGCAGUUUUGAAAGAGAGUAUCAGCAUAAAAGCUGGUGAGUUCAUAAGUGAUAUUUUUGUAAUGAAAGCCUGUUGAUGAAUCCGUGAAAAUGUCUGUUUGUUUCCAAGAAAAUCCAAUGUUUUCUUUAGUAAAAGCAAGAUAAUAUCAGUUCCUUCUAUCACCACUUAGUUCAUACUAGUUACGGAUAAACAAAUAUCAAACAGAAAGUGGAUUAUGUGGAUCUGCCCUAAACCCACAACCAAACAAGGAACAGGAAGUGAGGCGGAAACCACAUAUUUCACGGUCUAUCGAGUAUUCUUCAUAGGUAACCUUGAUGCAUAAACUAAGGGGUUAUAGAACUAACUAUGAAGGUAGUAUAAGAAACAUAUUAGUUUGUAUGUUUGGUUACUACUAGCAUGCAUGAUAUAUUCUGUUUGAAAACCCUGGUUACCACCAAUAUGUAUAGUGUGUUUUGUUUGAUUUGUACAAAAUUUCUUGUAUGAAAUCCUUGGCUAUCACCAGUAAUGUAAACAAUAUAUAGAAUGUUAUUCUGAUUAUCUGUAAAGUAUUAAUGUAUAUCUAAGAAAAUCCUAUAUUGUCCCUUGAGUGUGUGUUGUUGCUUUAAUGGUUCUGAAACUGUAAGGCAUAAGUAUUUUCCAUACUUAAGUUAUUAAAGCAAUUGUUCGUGAAAAGUAUAUUAUUACGUAAAUAAAUCGUUACUAUCUACUGACGUGUUUCAUGACCAUACUAAACUGAUACAAUGUGAAUCGGCCGCCAAUAUCCUUUAUGACUUUUCACCCGUAGACCUACCGGUCCUACUAUAACUAAAAGCAAGGUGCGGGGUUGUCAGUCCCAUAUAGAUCUAUACACAAAAUCACGUUCUCCCUCGAGGUAACUCUGGUUCAUAAGGGUAGUCCUCCACUUAGUUAUGUUUGUAAGCGCCCAAGGACGUGUCUCCCAACUAGAUUAACGAGUUUACAAGUAAUAAUAUGUGAAACAUAAUGUUCUUUUGUACUUGAAUUCGAUGUAUAUCUUGAAGAAUAAAAAUAAUUAUAGUUAUAUAAGUAUCUAUUAUGGUACUCUUGUAUCCAAAAAGUGGUAAUGUAUGCCAUAAACUAUACCUGUCAUAGUUUAAAUGAUUGUUAAUGUAAAAUCUUGAUAAAGUAAAACCGUGUAUUGAAAACUCAAACUAUACCUAUUAUAGUAUGUAUGUUAUGUACUUGAUUUGUACAUUGUUUCUGAAAACUAUGCAAUUAUAUAUAUAUAUAUAUAUAUAUAUAUAUAUAUAUAUAUAUAUAUAUAUAUAUAUAUAUAUAAUAAAACUNNNNNNNNNNNNNNNNNNNNNNNNNNNNNNNNNNNNNNNNNNNNNNNNNNNNNNNNNNNNNNNNNNNNNNNNNNNNNNNNGACUGUAUCAAUUGCAUAAGUUUUAAUCAUGUUUGAAAACCUUUGGUUUUUAGUUCACAAAAUCAUUUGUAUUUGGCUUGUAUUCCCCACCCCAUUGAAAACAUAUAAAACCAUAAAAGCGUAGGGGUAUGAACUCACUGUUUGAUGUGUGUAAACGUUGAACUGGAAGAUCCUCGAGUUGUUGUAAGUGGCACUUAAUGGAAUCCUAAUACCAAAUAAAUACAUAUAUGUAUCUAAAUUAGCGAUUUCGUUAUAUAAAGUGUUGGUAAAACACUUGCUUUUGGUUAAGGAAUGUUACCGGGACUUGAUUGAAUUGAGAAAACGAGUUUUUCACUGCUUAAGAGGCGUGUACGACCGUGAAUAGGGGUGUACGACCGAACAGGCAGUGUACGGCCGUAAAAAGGGGGUAUGGUCGUGAACUCUUCUUUGAGGUGUAUACGGCCCUUUGCAGAUUUGAAGGGUGUACGGUCGUACAAUCAAGAACAAGGGUGUUCGAUUUUGAAGAAAAUGUAUUCUAGAUGCUCCCAAUCGGUUCCAAAUGACAAUUUUCGAUGUUUUUCGGAAGAAAAGAGGUCUUUUUAGUGUGUACGGUCAGAAGUUCUAGAGAUAGAAUGUGACAACCCAAUAUUUCGAAUCUAUGUAAUGACCUGAAAGGGCAAGUAUUGUAACCUCUUUUGAUGUAAUGAAAUUAACUUCAAAAAUAAAAUGUUCAAAAGUCUCUAUUUGGUUACCUACUGUGUUAGAUAUCAUUAAACUGUGAUCGUACAUAAAAAGAACGUCCAAAUCUGACUUCGUAUAAGGAAGUUAUGAUUUUUCCAAGUUCGGCAUAGCGAUAGACAGCUAAAAACUCGAAGCAGAGAUCGAGCGACUUUUGGCCGGAAUACCCUAAAUGAUAAUCGAAGGUCUCGAUAAUGGUUUUCCAACGGUAAAAAGUCUGACAAAAACAGACGUCGGAUAAUAAAGUUAUGGAUUUCUAACGAACUUUUCUUACCCCGACCUUUUAAAAAUAAAUAAUAAAAAUAAUUUCAAAAUUUGCCGAUGGAGUCUAAACGAAAGUUGUAGAGCGUAGUCUCACCUACGCGUGGAUAUAAAGAACGUCGAAAACGGAGUUCGUAUGAAGAAGAUAUGAAUUUUUGAAGUUUACUAAAUAAUAAAAAUAUAAAUUUAAAUCAAAUUUCGGUAUUAUCCGAAGGAGGAGUCACCGGGCCAGUCUGAGUUACGCCCAGCAUACUCGAGGACUAGGCCUCAGAUCGUCCACGUCGCCCCCUAUGCGAGGCUAGGCCCCCGUCCCAUCCGAACUCCGAGGCAGUCGAGGAUGCGGUCACGCAUGACACACGCGUACGCCCAGCGUAACCGCGUAUGCCUAACGUACCGAGGCAGUUCCCACCCCUAUAAAAGGGAUGCGAGGGUUCCAGGGAAAAUGCUCAAUUCCUCUCAUCUUUCUUGCGUUUUUGCCUCGUUUUCCAUGCAAUAAAUAUCCCGAAGCCCCGGUUCCCAUACCCAAGUCCCGAAGGAAGUUUACGCUCCCGAGACUCCCGAGAAUCCCGAGAAAAUCCGCUUUCUCUAGUCAAAGUUCUGCUCGAUUUUUGUCUCAACUUCUUCGAUCUAUCAAGUGAGUUCAUACCCCUAUAAUCUACACUUUUAAAAGUUUUAUAAAUGCUUUUAUACGCUUUUAAAAGGGGGGGGGGAAUACAAGUAAACAGACGUUUAUUAUCGUGUGUUACAUAAAGUUUCAUUAUACACUUUUUAUCAAGUGAAUCAUAUGCGAUUUAUAACUACUAUAUGGAAACUUUCAUAUAUAAAAUAUAUCACGAUAACAUCUCGUCUUUUGAAAUGAAAUAUGUUGUUAUAUAUAUAUAUAUAUAUAUAUAUNCAAAUCAAACACUUUGUUUAUAUUUUAUGUAUAUGUGUCCAACUUUGACACUACAAAAGUUAUACUUUUCAUAUACAACUAGGGUUUACUAUACGAACGAAACACACUUUUGGAGAAACUAUAAUAGGUAUAGUUUUACGAGAACAUCAUGAGCUUUUACAUACUAAAAACACUAUUUCAAGGAGAUACUUUCAUAUACAAGAAUCAAAUGAGCAUUUUCAUACAUAAAUCUGUUUUAUACUAAGUUUUUUGAGACAUUAAACUUCACGUACGUUCGAGUACACAUUUAAAUUCCUAUAUUAUAUACCAGAAUCCCUUGGAGGGGGAGCAUGGUGUUUGUGUAUAGAUCUAUACAGGAUUGACAACCCCGUGCCCUGACUGUUAGCUACAAUACACCAUUUGGGGUGACAAACGUCAGAACAUUCCAACGCUUGAAGAACGUUGUGUAUAGGCCGUCCCAGUCAAUAGCAUGGUUAUAAAACUCACAUGGAGUAUUAAAAACACAUUGAUUUACGAGGUUUUUCAGACGUCUUGGCAAUUUUAUACGUACAUAAAUUGACUACUCUAGUCAUGAAAAACAUUAUUGUGUUACAGUUUUGGAACUUCUAAACUGCCACCCACAUACGGAAAAACAUCAACUUUUUAGCAACAAACAUUGGUCUUGGUAGAAGGCUACAUCUAUACCAGUAGAAAAUAUGGGAUUUUCUAGGAACAAAUAAACAAAAACAAACCAUUUCAUUUUAGUUCAUACAAACAUUGUCAUUAAAUACUUAUGAAACUCACCUGCUUAAAUGCUGAUCUACUCUUUCAAAAUUACUUUUAUGUCCUAGGGAUUCAGUAAUUAUAGGUAACAAACAGCUUUCGAAUAAGGGACGCUGCGAUGCCAGUUUAAAUUCAUAUUUUGACAUCAUAUUGUAAUUGGUUUUUGAACAUGUAUCUUUCAACAAUGUAAACUUUCAAUUAUAUAUAUGAUGGUUAUAUUGCUUUCUUUACUAUGUAUUCAAUCGUUACGGUACUACAUGAAGUCAUCCGCCCUCGAACGUUUCCGCCGUUCCGGUUUGGGGGUGUGACAUAGAAUGAGAGAGUUUUCAGCCAAGAGUGUUCAAAUGAGGGUGGGAGUAUUGUAUUUAUAGGCUGGGGUAUGGUUGGUGGUGGGGUCCACCUGACACCAAUCGUAAACGGGUGUAAGGCUAUACACCGGUGUGCGGCCAUACAUAGGUGUGCGUUAGUACACUCACUUAGGUCGAAAACUGUUUUUUUUCAAGGAUUUCGGGUUUUCGCGUCAUUUGGUUCCGACUUGCUUAUAUAAAUUUAAUUAUAUAAGACUAGAUGACCUCCUAAACCAUGAAGUUUUGAUGGAAACUUAAAAAAAUUUGUAAUUUUUUUUAACGGAAUUUGGAUAACAGAAACAAAAAAAGGUUUGGGUUGUCACGGUAUGGGGGUGGUAGACAGUGCUCAUAUCCAGCUGGGUUCCCAAUGCUUUCUGGAGCGACUGCCAAAAUCGAGAGGCGAAUUUACAAUCCCGGUCAGAUAUAAUAGAUAAUGGUACUCCAUGUAGUCUCACUACCUCCCUUAUGUAGAUCUGCGUCAGUUUUUCCAUCUUAUAUGUCUCCUUUAUUGGUAGGAAAUGGGCGGAUUUGGUCAACUGAUCAACAAUCACCCUGAUGACAUCCAGUCUGUCUGUCGUCUUAGGUAAUUUGGUUAUGAAAUCCAUUUCAAUCCUCUCCCAUUUCCACUCGGGUAUGACUGGUUGUUGAAGUAGACCCGAGGGAUUUUGAUAUUCCACCUUAACUUUAGCACAAGUGAGGCACUUGCCCACGUAAGUUGCAAUCUCUACUUUCAUAUUAGGCCACCAAUAGUGUUGUUUAAGAUCCAGGUACAUCUUAUCAGAGUCGGGAUGGACAGAAUAUCUUGUUUUGUAGCACCUCAUUCGUUACCACGUCCCAGAAUCCAUGAACCUCGGCGUCAAGAUUCGGUCCAUAAGAUAAUAGGCUCCAUCCUCUUUGAUGUUUAAGUUCUUUUCCAUUCCACGUAAUACAUCAUUUGUGACAUUUUCCGGUUUCAAGGCUUCUUGCCGAGUCUCCUUAAUUUGUAAAGACAAGUGGGAUGGAGGGUUAUCAAUAGUGUUCGCACUCGGCGACCUGAGUACUCCUUCUGGAUUAAGGCAUCGGCUACCACGUUAGCUUUGCCCGGAUGGUACUUGAUCUCGCAUUCUUAGUCGUUUAGCAGCUCGACCCAUCUUCGCUGCCUCAUGUUUAAUCUUUUUGAUUUAGAAUGUGUUGGAGGCUUUUGUGGUCCGUGUAAAUUAUGGACUUUGUCCCAUAAAGAUAAUGCCUCCAUAUUUUUAAAGAAAAGACCACCGCUCCUAGUUCGAGAUCAUGGGUAGUAUAAUUCACCUCGUGGUUUUUCAGUUGUCUGGAUGCAUAGGCAAUCACCUUUCCACACUGCAUUAGUACACAACCCAAACCUUGGUUAGAAGCGUCGUAAUAUGCUACAAAGUCCUCUGUUCCCCUGGAAGUGACAAGACUGGAGCACUGUAGAGGGCUUUAUUUAAGGUUUAAAAGGUUGUCUCUUGCUUCUUUUCCCAAGUGAAAGAUACCCCCUUUUGAGUUAGAGUGGUGAGAGGUUUGGCGAUUUUUGAGAUGUUUUGAAUGAACCUCCGGUACUAUCCAGUGAGGCCCAACAAUUGUCUGAUCUCAGUGGGUGUUUUCGGAGUUUCCCUGCCCUCAACUACAUUAACCUUAGAUGGAUCCACAUGAAUUCCCUCUUUACUGACCACGUGUCCCAUAAAAUUUACUUGGCGAAUCUAAAACUCGAACUUGGAAAGUUUUGUGUAUAAUUUUUCUGCUCUAUGUGUUUCCAAGACCUGUCUCAAAUGUUGGCCAUGUUCCUCUCUGCUUUGAGAAUACACCAGUGUGUCGUCGAUAAAGACUAUUACGAAGUUGUCGAGGAAGGAUCGACAAACUCGGUUCCUUAAAUCCAUGAAUGCUGCUGGUGCAUUCGUCAGUCCAAAUGGAAUUACAACGAACUCGUAGUGACCAUAACGAGUUCGGAAGGCAUUCUUAGGGACGUCUUCUUCUCGGACACGUAGUUGGUGAUAUCCGAAUCUCAGAUCUAUCUUGGAGAAAUAAUUUUCCCCUUGCAACUGGUCAAACAGGUCAUCAAUCUGGGGAAGAGGGUAUCAAUUUUUGAUUGUGAGUUUGUUGAGUUCCCAGUAGUCGAUACACAUGCGGAAGGAACCAUCCUUCAUUUUGACAAAUAGAACCGAAGCUCCCCAAGGAGAGAAACUCGGUCUUAUGAAUCCUUUGUCUAACAGCACACUCAAUUGACUAGAUAGAUCUUGCAUUUUUGCAGGGGCUAAUUUGUAUGGUAAUUUGGUGAUAGGCAUGGCUCUAGGGACUAGGUCGAUUCAAAAAUCGACCUGUCGCUCGGGGGGUAUUCCCGGGAGGUUUUUAGGAAAUACAUCUAGAAAAUUACACACCUCCGGGAUAUCCUUGAGGUUCUUCUCCUCUUUGUGUUUGUCCACUACGUGGGCUAGAAAGGUGUGGUUCUUUUUAUGCAGGCACUUUUACGCCUUGAUGCAUGAGAUAAGAUGGAGAUUUGUACCAGGUUUAUCUUCGUAGAUAAUUAUUGUUUCGUUGGUAGGUAGGUGAAUGCGAACGGCCUUCUCGUGGCACAUAAUAUCAACAUGGUGGGGGCUUAACCAAUCAAUACCGAUGAUCACAUCAAAGCUUUUAAUAUUAACUGGUAUCAAGUUGAUUAGAAACGAGUGAUUAUUUAGUGUUAACGUGCACCCUAUAAAAAUGUCAUUUGUUGCUUCAGUCCUCCCAUUAGCCAUUUCCACCACGAAGGCUUCAUUUAACCUCUGGGGGCUUUGAUUUAGUAAGUGCUUAAAUUUAUGGUUCACCAAACUUCGUUCCGCCCCAUUAUCGAACAAAAUGCAUGCAUAAAUGCUAUUGAGGAGAAACAUACCAGUGACUAUGGCCGGAUCUUGCACAGCCUUUCCCUGCCCCAAUGUUAGGACCUUGCUUGAUCCCCCAACACCUUGGUUGUUUGUCUUGGGACAGUUCCUUUUAUAGUGACCGGUCUCUCCACACCCGUAGCAUGCUUGACUUGCCCCGAUAUUGUUGGGUUGAGGGUUGUUUUGUUGUGGCUGAGACUUGGAAUAUCGAGCAGUGUGACCUUUAUGAUUGCAGUUGGUGCACUGCAAGUCUUGGAAGGCACCGUUGUGGUGGAAAUUGCAUUUAUCACACUUCGGUAGGGGGCCCGCAUAUGACUUUGUCGGUGUUGGUGUGGUUGAUGUUGGUGCAGCUGGUGUUGGUGCGGUCUGAAUAGUAGUAGCAUGAACUGCUACAGUUUGUUGCUUCUUUGAUGAUUCCUCAUUCUGUUACCCUUUCCUUUUGUUUCCCCGAUUGUUCUUGUUGUUGUCCUCCUUCUUUUGUUUCAGUGCCAGAAUUCUUAGUGCCCUUUCCAUCCCCAUGGUCAUACAACUUUUGAGCCAACUGUUUGGCAUUGUUGAAGGUCGAGGGGUUAGCGACAAUUACGUUCCCCUGAACUAGAGGAGUUAACCCCCAAAUAAAGCGUUCGACCUUUUUGGCCUUAGAAGUUAUCAUUCCAGGGCACAGAAGUGCCAGUUUACUAAACUGGGCAAUGUAUCCUUCAAUGUCGGAGUUCUGUACGGUAAGAUUCCACAACUCUUGCUCAAGUUUCUAUAUUUCACAUUGGGGACAAUACUCCUCCAACAUCAUCAUUUUGAGAGCUUCCUAAGACAUAGCGUUUGGGACUAGGAGAGUUAGGACAUUGAUGUGGCCAUUCCCCCGCGAAAAGGCCCUGUCAGUAAACGUGUAGGCUGUAAAUCUUACUUUGCUUUCGUCAGGACACCCGCAAAUCUCAAAAAUGGACUCGGUCUUUUCGAUCCACCGAGUGAGAGCUAUUACCCUACCACUUCCAUUAAAUGACUUCAAUUUUGCAUUGUUGAAGUCCUUGUAGGUGCAGGUUCUUUGGUGCCCAUGGUUAUCCCCGUGGUUGGAGAUUCUUGCCCCGUUCCAUUUACCUCUUCCAUUGCUGCCCUGAUUGAUGUGGGCUAAUGCUGCAGUGACUGAAGUUGAGACAACUGCUUGGAAAGUAGCAUAAUUCAUCUCUGGUAGAAGCAGCGGUGGUGGCGGUGCUGCUGUAGCGUUUUUGCGGAUGUGUCAUCUAGGCAUUUUCUGUUAUGAGACAUGAAUGGAAAAUCUUAUAGUAACGGUUACGGUGGUUCGAGUGUACUUAUGGUGGUACCAUAGCAGUUGGAUGAAAGAAUGUGUUGGGAUCAUAGUAAGAAAGAUUGUUGUGGUAUUGUAGCAAUUGAAAUGAGCAUAAGACUAUGAUGGUAUCAUAGCACUCACAUGGGUAUGUGGUAUUUUGGGAAACAUAAUAAUCUUUGUGCUUACCGUUUGAGUUUAAAAUGUUUAAGGUUGUUCUAGGUCAAGGGAAAGGGCACAACUUGAUUGCAUUGCAUUCACAUAUAUAUUUUAGAUAUUUCCACACACUUUUAGUUACUAUAAUUAAGACUCUGAUUUGAUUAUAAUUUGAAAUAAAUGGUUGUUUAUCUAUUUGAUAAUGAAAUUUGAAUGAUUUUCUUUGAAUUAGUAUGAAAAAAUUGGGUUGAAAUUUAGGAAGUUACAUCCGAAUUAGUUUCUAUGUUUUUAAUUAGAGUAAAUUAUACGAAUCGUCUCUCGUGUAGGUAGUAAAAUGCACGUUAGUCUCUAUUUGUAAAAAUUAACCCACACCCUCCCUCAUGUCUUUAAAAGUUGUAUGAUUCGUCACUUGUUAGUUUAAAUUUGCACGUUACAUCCCUUGUGAGACAUGAAAUAACUAUAAUUCAUGUUUUUUUUUUCAUUUAUUUUUGAUAAUUAUUAUUAAUUUUAAAUAAGAAGCAUUUUAAUUAAAAAUGUGGGCCCACCUAACCCUUUUAAAGCUUUAAACCUAAUAUUUAUAUAUCUCUCCCCAAUGUAUCUCUCUUUCUCUUUUGUAAGAAAGUACUUAAUCACCACUGCCGGUAAUCUGCACGACCACCGAAAAAUAGAGCACCGCUAGAAAUGUGAACAACAACAACAAAAAACCGCUCUUGAUUUCCACCAAUAAUCACCAUUGCAUUUCCUUUCCCUAUUCACUUUGAUGAGUACCACCUCUUGUUCAUGUCUAGAAAAUAACACCACAUUCGUCGGAAAAUAUCAUAUAUCUUCUUCACCUGGUUUCUCUCCCUCACAUUUAGAAAAUACCAUAUUUGUUCUUCACCCUUCCUCUAUUCGCGUCCGACGACCACCACCACGGAUCUAGGGUUUUGAAUGGAGAUAGAAUUAGAGUUAGAGUUUCCAACUACUUGAGAUGGCGAUGACAUCACACAAACCUAGAGUUCCAAACUACUCUUCCUUUCCUGCCCGAUGAGGGUUAGGGUGAAAAUAAUUAUGUUGGUGCACUAGUUGUGAUGGUGGCGCACAAGUGGUUACUAGGGGGUUUCUGGAGAGGGGNNNNNNNNNNNNNNNNNNNNNNNNNNNNNNNNNNNNNNNNNNNNNNNNNNNNNNNNNNNNNNNNNNNNNNNNNNNNNNNNNNNNNNNNNNNNNNNNNNNNNNNNNNNNNNNNNNNNNNNNNNNNNNNNNNNNNNNNNNNNNNNNNNNNNNNNNNNNNNNNNNNNNNNNNNNNNNNNNNNNNNNNNNNNNNNNNNNNNNNNNGAGAGUGGUGGAGGGGGUGUGGGGGGGGGGGGGGGGGAGAGAGAGAGAGAGAGAGAGAGAGAGAGAGAGAGAGAGAGAGAGAGUUCCUAGUUGUUGAUGAUGGUCCGAUGGUGUUUUCUGGUUGUCGGUCGAUAAUCUAACAAUGGUUUGAUGGUGUUCCCCUGGUGGUUUUUCAAAGAUAAAAAGAGAGUUUUGUGGUUCUUCUUAGAGAAAUAGAAAGUGCAUUGUAAAAGAAAAUGUUAAAAUAAGGUACGUGGGUGAGGUGAGGAUGAAUAUGAGACCCAUAAUUUAAUUAAAAUGUUUUUAAUAGUUAAUAAUAUUUAUAAACAUUAAAAAUAAAUGAAAAAUAGAAAAUGACAAUAUAUUCAUUUUAUGUCUAAAAGGGACGAAACAUGCACAUUAUUAUGAUAUAAACGAUGAUCCGAGUUAAUUUUAAAAUACCGAGACUAAAUGUGUAUUUUGACAGCUGUAUGAGAGACGAUUCAUGUAAUUUAUUUUUAAUUAAUUUAUAUUUAUGUUAAAUUAAAAAAAAAUUGAAUGGGUUGAAAUGAAUGAAAAAUAUAAAAUUACAUCAACGAGUUUUUACGGUUUUUACAUCAUUAAUGAGUAUACAUAAUGUAUACAACGAGGUUUUGGUAUAAUAUAGCAAACAACGAAAUUGAAGAUGCUUCAAAAUAUAUUUUUAUUAAACGUGGAAAAAUAUAGAAAACCAUAAUGUUCUUUUAUAAUUUUAUUAAAGGAAUGAUAAGGUAUAAUUUAAAAAAAAAAAUGUAAUCAGAUAAUAUAAUCACUUCACUAAAUACCAGUAAUUAAAUAGUCAGGUACUUCUAUAAAUUUGUAAAAAUGCCCUGGGUUACCGAAUCAUUAGGAUAAAAUGCUUUUAUCAACUAAAAGAAUAUAACAUUAACAUGUUUGCUUUUUUUAGCUGUUCAAAAAGAAUAUAACAUUUUAAACACAAUAAAAAGCAAUUUAAGAAACUUAAUCAAUUACUAGAAAACAUGUUUUUUUUGUCUAACAAGCAAUGUUUGCAUAAAAUAAGUACUUUUCACAAUUAAUCUCAGCAUCCACAAUAUCAAAUCAUGUGUUUCUAGUUUUUCCAGUUGGUGCUUUGGGAUACAAUUUCUUUGGUGUGUUGUUCAUCAUUGAGACAACGACUAUANNNNNNNNNNNNNNNNNNNCCCCCCCCCAAAAUAAAUAAAUAUAAAUAAAAUAAAAAAAAACUAUGUUCUUUUAUGGGUCUGGUAUUUUAGCAGAAGUGUUCACAUAAUUAAGAUAUGACCAAUCAAACAGCUUUAUUUUAUUUUAUUUGUACAUAUCUACAAUACAAAAAGCAUUAUCUUAUCCAUAAUCUUACAAUACUUUCAGUGUCGGAAGAAAGCGACUUGUUUAGAUCAACGCCGUGUCAUUACAAUGUGUGAAUAGCAUGAAGCCAUGACUAAAGAUUCUAUCGCAUUACAUUAAGAAAAGUAUACUACAUUCUAGAAAUACACAUACAUAUGGUUUUGUAUUUCAUCUAGAUUAAAAUUUAGACUCAAUUCAAACAAAUAGAUAUUGAAAGUCUGAAACUGAAUUCAACAAAAAGAUUACAUCACAAAAAAUCCAUUUGUAUAUAUACAUAUAAACCGUCGUGAAUUUUAUCAGAUACAAAAAUAGUUAAUUAAUUACUUAAUGGAAAACAAUGUUUGCACAAGAAAUAUUAUUACAUAAAGAGUGAAUAUAACAAAAUUUAAUAAAUAAGGGCAUUUGAUAUUGGAAGAUGAAUCCCCAGAAGCAAGAUGCGCAUACAAAUCCAACAAUGCAUCCAAUGAAUCUUGACUCACAUUGCCUGCUUUCGACUUUAUGCUUCCGAUACUGAAAAGAAAAUGACAUUACUAUAUGAAAAUGUUUUGAAAGCAUAAUAUAAUAGAAAAAUAAAAAUAAUAUAAUAAUAAUUGAUAAAUAUAUAAAAAUAAUACCUUCGAGUAGGACAAAAAAUGAUUACGUAAUCAGUAGCACCCAUACACGUAAAAGUACUCGUAGCAUCAUCAUAUGCAUAGCUAUACGACUUCGGGCAAGCUGAUUUGAACACCUCAGAAUACGCCGUCGGCCGACAAGCCGCCGGAGAAUCAAAUGCACCCUUACAACAAAACUCCGGCGUCCCAAAUGUGUCGCAGGCACUCUUACACCCUCCACCAUCUGCCACCUUCAACUCGCUUGGACACCGCCGGUUCAAGUCAUCGAUGCAGCCGGUAGUCCCACACUCACCGGACCCACCACUCGCCUCCACUAUCAUCUGCAGAUUGUACCCGUCAACAAGGCUGACGUCGUAGAAGUCCUGCGUACCUGACCCGAGAGUGAACUCCGCAAGGGUGGCGGGCGGGGUUGCUCCGGCUCCGUUGCAUUCCAUUUGCCCCGAACCGCAGUCUCCUGUAACACAUGAUCCGUGACCCAAUCCGUCGAAGUUGCAGCGGGUUCUCCCCCAGAACCUGCCGGACCAGCCUACCGGAGCUUGUAGUGAACGUGAUUUACCCUCCGGGAGCUCGAAUCCGGUGGUGUCGAGAGCUGGGGUGCCUAGUAUCCCUGGCCAUACUGUGUAGUCACACUUGUUUGAAAAUGUAAAGGUCGUAGCCCCAUAAACACCUGCAAUAACGAACUCAUUCUAAUCAAUAUAAACUUCAUACACAAAUGGAAUGCGAAAUAAUGUAAUGGAGAUAUAUAUACAGAUAAGCAUUGGUUUACCUUUGAAAACAAAGAACAUGAGAAAUCUAAGAACGAUAUCGGAGUGACCCAUAUGAAAGCUUUUAAGAAAAGUAUGAGUGUGUAAAUGAAGAAGAAGAAGAAGAAGAUUGAAGAAGAAGAUGAAGGAGGAGGGUGGAGGGUGGAGGGGGUAUUGAAGGGUGGUGAUGGGAUGGUACUUAUAGAGUGAUGGCGUCCAUGAAUGAUGACACGACGGAGUGCGGUAAUGAUGUGGAAGGGCCAUAUUCUGACUGUUUUGAUCUUCAUUCCUAUUUGUAGAAAUUAGACAUCACUUGCUACUAGUGUUAUUUUAAUAUUCAAGUAAUACUAUAUUUGUUUUUUUGGCUGAUUUUGAUUUAAUUUUUUGAACAUAAAUCAUGAAUUUCGGUUGAGAUGUUAACGGUAUCUUAUUGUUAUCUAAACUAGAUACGUAUGUGGGUUAAGUUAUGUUAUCUUUGUUAGGAUAAUUCAUAAUUUUAGGCGUAAGCAGGUGAUGUGCUUUUUGAAGUGAAAAAUUAAAAAAAAGUGUUUUAGUAAGGGUAAAACUGCUUUCUAAUAGGUGUGGAUAAUUAGUUAAGGUCAAUAUACCAUCUCAAUAUGAAUAUGGAUACCAUAUCAAUAUGAGUAUCGAGGAAAUUGAAAAGAUACAAUAACAACCUAAAUGUCAUAAUUUUUUUCGUUCCUCAAUUUAAUUGUUUUUGAUUUAUUUAUUUUUUAUUUUUCAAAAUUUGUUUUUUAUUCACGUUAGAUUAUUUAAAAAAAGUAAUAUAUUAAAUUUAAUUAAAUCAUAAAUUAACCAUAACAUUUAAAAACUAAAACUAAAAUUACGCAAAAAAAUAAUAAUAAUAAUAAACAUUGAAGCUGUUUGUGUGGAAAGUACCCCUUAGGGUUUGCAUUGUAUACCAUAGUAUAAAUAAUACAGUGUAUGAGAUAAUUACAUAAAGGACCCUUAUCUAUACAAUAUAUAUGAUACCUACACUAACAUGAAAAUAAAUAAUACAAUUAACACUCCCCCUCAGUUUGAGCGGGAGGUUCCCUAAUGCGUAAACUGUCCCGAAAGUCAAGAAAUAACUAUGUAGGUAGUUCUUUAGUAAAGAUAUCUGCGAGUGUCAUCAAAAUCUAGGCCUGGUUGCUGAGAGAAUCCUUGAGCUACAAGGUGCCCUUUGUAGCGAUCGAAAUUACCAUGAGAAUCAAACUUGUGGCGAUAGAGCCAACGACAACCGACAAUGUUGGCAGUAGGAGGGCGUGUAACAAGAUCCCAGGUGUGAUUGUCAGUUAGAGCUGACAUUUCCACAUCCAUAGCGAGUUUCCAGUUUGGAUCACUCAUAGCUUGGGCAGUGGAUCUAGGGAUAGGAGAGAUGUUAGAGGUAGCCGAGAGAUUAAGGAUAGUACGAGGUUUUAGAAAGCCUGUUCACGAUCGAGUGGUCAUAGGGUGACAGGGCGGUGGAGGAGGAGGAAGAGGAGGAGUAGGAGAGGAAAGUGGUGGCACAGAGGCUACAUGACCGGUGGAGUGAGUAGUCGCGGAUAAGGGGAGAGUCGAGGGAAGAUCAUCAUCGGGAAUGAAGUGAUUAUAGUCAGCCUCGGAAGGGGAUGGAUGAAAAUCAGAAUAAGGAAAGUGAUCUUCAUCGAAUAUGAAGUGACGCGAUAUGAUAAUGCGUUGAGUGAUGAGAUCUAGACACUUGUAUCCCUUAUGAUCCGGAGCAUGACCAAGAUAAAUACAAGCAGUAGAACAAGGAGAGAGUUUGUGAGGAGAAGUAGACGGUGUGUUAGGAUAACACAGACAUCCAAAGACACGAAGGUGAUCAUACUUAGGGAAGAAGCCAAAGAGGACCUCAAAGGGUGUCUUAAAAGAUAGAGUGGUAGUGGGAAGCAGAUUUAAGGUGUGAACAGCGGUGAGAAGAGCUUCAGUGCAAAAUGAAGAUGCUAAGGAAGCUUGAAAUAGAAGUGUACGAAUAAUAUUAUUGAUGGAACGACUGGAGCGUUUAACUUUUCCAUUUUGUUGGGACGUGUAUGGACAAGAGAAACGAAUAGCAAUGCCAUUGGAUUGAAGAUAUGUAAGAAGUAAGUGAUUAUUAAAUUGUCGACUGUUAUCACAUUGAAAGGAUUGAAUAUCGGUUUUAAAUUGAUUUUUAACAUACAUUCGAAAAUUGCAAAAAACAGAAUAUACUUCAGAUUUUGCACGAAGAGGAAAAACCCAUAAAAAAUGAGAGAAGUCAUCAAGAAACAAUAUAUAAUAUUUAAAACCACUCAAGCUAGUAAUAGGAGAUGUCCAUAAAUCCGAAUGAAUAAGUUCAAACACACGAGUAGUUUUAGAUAAAGAGGAAGGAAAAGGUAAGAGACAGUGUUUUCCAAGUUGACAAGCAUGACAAAUUGGAACUUUAUUAGUGCUACUAGAAAUAAAAUGACGAGACUGAAAAAACUUGAGUACGGAAGAUCCAGGAUGUCCUAAAUGACGAUGCCAUGUGGGAAGAGAAACCGUGGUAAAAGCUGUAGCAGAAACCAUAGGAACGGAAGAAGGAGUGCACGGGUACAAAUCACCAACACUAUCGCAUCGUUGUAUGACAGCAUCUGUAUUAAGAUCCUUUACAGAAAAACCAAAAGGGUCAAAAGAGACAGAAACCCCAUUAUCAGUAGUGAAUUUACGCACAAACACUAAGUUUUUAAUUAUUUUAUUGGACACAAGGACAUUUUUAAGUAAGAAUUUAUCUUCAGAAUAAGGAAGAUAUGUUUGGCCAAUGUGAGAAACUGGAAUAAUCGCACCAUUACCAACCAUGAUGGACUUAGAAUUACAUGGUGAUAGAGAAAACAUGUUACCUUGGUUGAAGUUCAUGUGUGAGCUUGCUCCCGUAUCCAUGUAAUAUUGAUUAUCCAGUGGCGGUUGGAUGGACAUUUCUUGAAAAACCGAUGCUAAAUCUGUGGGUUGUGUUGAAGAGGUCGAACCCGGACCUUAAGAAAUAUUAUUAUGUUGCUGGUAGGCUAAACUUUGGCUGUUGGGCCGAAAUUGCAUGGAAAUGGGCUGCCCAAAAAGGGCAACAUGUUGCUGGACCGAGGGGCAUGAAGCGUUGGGCUGUUGAGCAGAAAAAUGGGUUGGCAGUUGUGCUUGUUGGGCCAUGUUGGCUUGCUGGUGUGCAGGAAAAGUGUCGACAGCAGCAUAUGGCGAUGGUGGUUGUCCAUUUGAGGGCAUCACAUAUCCCCAAUGAGAGUUAGGACCACCAUGUUGACCAUAAAAAAAAAUUUGUUGCUGAUGUGGAGAUGUUUGACCAAUUAUGUUUGGAUGGGACCCCAUUAUACCUGCAAAUUGAGAAUUUUGUCUUGGAGAAGUGCCUGCAAAUUGGUUAGCACUAGUAGAAAUACUAGAAUUCCCCCCUCCCCUUUAGAAGAAACCCGAUUAUUAUUCCAUUUAUUUUUUGAUUUUCCGGAUUGUUGUGAAACGGAAUACAAAGCAGUUGUUGUGAUGUUUGUCGGGUCUUGCAUCAUGUCGUGGUUGUCCUCAUGAUGUUCACGGAGUAGAAGCAUAUUUUUGGCUUCUAAAAACGAUGGGAAUGGUUUAGUAUUCAUGACAACAUUGAUAAUACUUUGGUAGGAGGGCGGUAGACCACGAAGAAUUUGCAUAACAAACUCCACUUUAGAUAUAUCGGAGUCAACAUCUUGUAGAGCAUCAACAAGGUGUUUGAGAUUGUGGCAGUAGUCGUGAAUAGAGGAUGCGCCUUUCUUGGUGUUACGAAACUAUUCAUGUAGUUGCAACAUCCAGGGCAUUUUAUUAUUGAGAAAGAAUUCCUGGAGGUUAUCCCAUAAGUUCUUUGCAAUGCAUUUAUCAGUAGUAAUAACCUGUAACACAUUGGGAUCACAUGUCGAGUAGAACCAUGAUUUCACACGAGAAUCAAUUAAAUGCCAGUCUUCAUCAUCUUCACAUGUUGGUUUAGAUUUUCUAGUAAUGUGUCCAAGAACCUUGGCGCCUUGACAAAUGUCUUUAAAAAUACGACACCACAGUUUAUAUUGGAGCCAUUAAAAGUCAAUUUGAAACUAAACUGGUUAUAGACAUUUGUUACCGCGUAUACCAACUGUUGAGCGGUAGGGGUUGUGGUGGAAGAACCGGCUGGAGUGGUACUCAUUGUAAAACCGGAAAAGCAAAGAAAUAAGUUGGAAGUAAAAACACAUAAAAAUAAACAAGAGAGUUACCGCAAGAAGAGGAGUUGUAGUAGAACCACUUGUGUGACACCAACAAGGAAGAAAGAAGGCAGCGGAAAUGCAGGUAAACGAGAACAAGUUGCAGGAGUAGGUGGUAUCGAUAGGGAUUACUGGACAAAAGUUGCAGUGGGAAAAAAAUCGAGCGUAUGCUAGACGCCGAUCCUAACCUUGCUUUGAUACCAUGUUUGUGUGGAAAGUACCCCUUAGGGUUUGCAUUGUAUACGAUAGUAUAAAUAAUACAGUGUAUGAGAUAAUUGAUGGGUUUUAGCCAUAAGAACUUUCCUAUGUGCGCAUGCAAAACCCUAAUGCUUGGAUCUAGGCUUUCUAAUAAACAUGCUUUGAAUCCAAGUCUUCUAAUGNAUGCGUAAACUGUCCCGAAAGUCAAGAAAUAACUAUGUAGGUAGUUCUUUAGUAAAGAUAUCUGCGAACUGAUGUGAUGAUGGAACAUGCAAAACACGAACCUGACCAAUCGCCACACGUUCCCUAACAAAGUGUAAGUCAAUUUCCACAUGUUUGGUUCUUUGGUGCUGAACUGGAUUAGAGGCUAAGUACAUGGCACUCACAUUGUCACAAAACACAACUGUAGAACGACACAGAGGACAACAUAGUUCAAGUAGAAGAUUACAAAGCCAAGCAAUUUCAACAACAACAUUAGCUACNCCUAUAUCUCAUAGAAUUCGUCCAAAGCAUAUCCCAAUGGAUUUACAGUCUAAAGUUUAACUAUCAAACAAUUGACAGUUUAUACCCCUUUAUUUAAUUAAUCUCUUUAAGUCACCAAAUUAAUUCUAAUUAAUUCUAUGACUUAUAUUAAUCAAAUAACAAAUAUAUUAUUCAUUAUAUUAUUCUCAUAAUAUAUUAAUAAUAUUUACUCUCUCUUAAUAAAUCAUCCUAUCAAGUUGCUAUGGUGAAGGCAACCCAAAAGGACCAUGCACAACCGGAUCAAAUACUUGCCUAAUAUAGUUACAGCCUUAGACACUAUUCCAACAGUCUCCCACUUGGAUAAGUCUAGUAACUAUACAAGUACAAUUCGGUUUGCAAUCGUAGCUCUCAAAGACGCUGUCAACUCUGAUCUAAUCAAUCUUGUCCUUUAGAUAAGGGAACGUACAGUCCUCUGUUAGAUAUCAUGCUGACAAUCCUAUGGAAUGGUUAGUCAAGCAUUUAGGUUUCUCGAUCUCUGAUUUAUUUGACAUAGAACUUAAUCGAACACAUCAAUUCAGUUCUGACCGGGCCCGGCACAUAAGUCAAAUCAAAUCAUCGAGCGGCCGAGAUAUCGCUUUUACCUUCUUAGAUAAAAGUUACAGAUAAACUUCGACUUAUAUGCAUUUACUUAUUCAUUUACCAACUAUACACAACAAUACGUUUUAUAACACCAAGUUACUGAUGCGUUUUCGUAUUAUCAAUGUACAAUCAAUUAACAAAUAAUAAACCAUAUAUCUAGGUUUUAAGACUAUAUGAUAUUAUCGUCUUGCGAUCACCUUUUAUAUCGUAUUCCAUAAGGUGAUUCCAGCAAGCGCGGGUUUAUUCCAAUGCUCAAAACUAGUUCAUAAGCACUCAUGAACGUUGCAGCAAUCCUUUGCUAUGUCUAACACCAUUUAGACAUUCUACACACCAAUUCAUGACAAUCUUCAUUCAUAUCUACUCCCAACAUAUGAACGAUUGUGGACCAUUUGAACAAUUCGAUUAUUCCUAAUAAACUCAAUUAUUCUGGAAGUCAAAACAUGCAAAGUGAAACAAUAGCUAAACAAUUAACAUAAGAUAGUAACAUUACUCAUAAAUAAAACUCCUUUAUUUAAUCAUCAAAUGUUAAUUACAUUUAUCUAUUACACGUUUCUAAUACUAUCUAAUCUAUGCUAAUAUCAUCCUUCAGCCCAAUACUCCUAGCAUGCUGCAAGUGCUUAACCCUACUCAGUCCCUUCGUAAGCGGAUCUGCUGGGUUAUCUUCUGAUGAUAUCCUCUUCACUACGAGUUGUCCUUCUUCUACACGAUGUCUAAUGAAGUGAUACUUUCUGUCGAUAUGUCUUGAUCUACCAUGAUCCCUCGGUUCCUUGGUCAAGGCAACCGCGCCUUCGUUAUCACAGAAAAUCUCCAUUGGCUCCUUUAUGGCAGGUACAACUCCAAGAUCACCGAUGAAGUUCUUUAGCCAUAUUGCCUCCUUCGACGCUUCGCUCGCUGCAAUGUACUCUGAUUCGCACGUUGAAUCAGCUACGGUUUCCUGCUUGGAACUCUUCCAUGUCACUGCUCCUCCAUUUAGGGUAAAGACCCAGCCCGACUGCGAACGGUAGUUGUCCCUGUCGGUCUGAAAACUGGCGUCACUAUACCCUCGCACCUUCAAGUCAUCACUCCCUCCGAGGACUAAGAACCAUUCCUUCGUCCUCCGAAGGUACUUAAGGAUAUUCUUCACCGCAAUCCAAUGUGCUUUGCCAGGAUUCCCUUGAUAUCUGCUAACCAUGCUCAAAGCGAAGGCUACAUCAGGGCGAGUACAAGUCAUAGCGUACAUGAUUGAGCCAACUGCGGAAGCGUAUGGUACUCGGCUCAUUUCUGCUAUCUCAGCUUCGGUACUCGGACUUUGAGUCUUACUCAAUUUGGCAUUACUUUGUAUCGGUAGUUCUCCCUUCUUUGAGUUUUCCAUACUAAAACGUUUUAGUACCUUCUCUAAGUAAGUAUUCUGACUAAGUCCAAUUAGUCUCUUACUUCUUUCUCUUACUAUCCUUAUUCCCAAAAUGUAAGAAGCCUCUCCGAGGUCCUUCAUAGCGAAGCACUUCCCGAGCCAGGACUUAACCUCCUGCAGAGUCGGGAUGUCGUUUCCUAUGAGUAAUAUGUCAUCGACAUAUAGAACGAGGAAGCUUACUAUACUCCCACUGGCUUUGACAUAUACACAAGAUUCGUCUUCGCUUCGUACAAAUCCAAACUCUUUGACUUUCUCAUCGAAGCAAAGAUUCCAUCUGCGAGACGCUUGCUUAAGUCCAUAAAUGGACUUCUCAAGCUUACACACUCUAUUCGGAUGCUUCGGAUCCACAAACCCCUCUGGCUGAGCCAUGUAAACAUCCUCAGCCAACUUUCCGUUAAGGAAAGCGGUCUUGACAUCCAUUUGCCAAAUCUCAUAAUCAUGAAAUGCGGCAAUAGCUAGCAUCACUCUAAUAGAUUUAAUCUUCGCAACUGGUGAGAAGGUCUCAUCAUAGUCAACUCCGGGAGUUUGAGUAAAGCCCUUCGCAACCAAUCGCGCUUUAUAUGUGUGUACGUUUCCAUCCACGUCGGUCUUCUUCUUGAAGAUCCAUUUGCACCCAACGGUCUUACGUCCGGGCACAUAAUCAACCAAAUUCCAAACUUGGUUAUCAUACAUGGAUUGGAUCUCGCUAUCCAUUGCCUCUUUCCAUUUUGCAGACUCCGGGCCUGCCAUGGCUUCCUUAUAGCUAUUAGGUUCAUCAAGAUUUACUAGUGUACCAUCACUAAUAUACGUGUCCCCUUCGGUAGUAAUAUGAAAGCCAUAAAACUGGGGAUGAACUCUAACUCUAUCGGAACGUCUAAGAGGUAAGGAUUCGUCAAUCGGUUCAACCGGAGUUUCCUCCUCGGGUUGAGUGCCAGCGGUAGAGGUUCCUUCAUCUAUCGACUCUUGAAUCUCUUCAAGUUCGAUUUGCCUCCCACUGUCUCCUUGGCUUAUGAGUUCUCGCUCUCGGAAAACUCCUCUCCUCGCAACGAAGACAACAUUGUCCUUCGGUCUAUAGAAGAGAUAUCCAAAGGAUGUCUGCGGGUAGCCGAUGAAAAUACAUCGCUCACUUCGAGGUUCAAGCUUGUCGUGAGUAUCUCGUCUUACGAAAGCCUCGCAACCCCAAACCUUGAUAUGUGCCAACGAGGGAGCUUUCCCUGUCCACAUCUCGUGAGGUGUUUUGGCAACCUUCUUAGUAGGGACUCGGUUAAGGAUAUGGGCGGCAGUCUCUAAGGCAUACCCCCAAAAAGAGAUUGGUAGUGAAGCACGACUCAUCAUAGAGCGAACCAUAUCCAAUAAGGUUCGAUUACGCCUUUCUGCCACACCAUUCAACUGCGGUGUCCUAGGAGGCGUCAAUUGUGAAACUAUUCCACACUCCUUGAGAUAAUCGUGGAAUUCAAGACUUAGGUACUCUCCUCCUCGAUCGGAUCGAAGCAUCUUGAUUUUCCUGCCCAAUUGAUUCUCCACUUCAUUCUUGAACUCUUUGAACUUUUCAAAGGUGUCUGACUUUUGCUUGAUUAAGUAGAUAUACCCAUAUCUACUAUAGUCAUCGGUAAAAGUCACAUAGAAGCGGUUCCCAUCCUUCGUGGUUGAUCUAAACGGUCCACAUACAUCGGUAUGUAUUAGGUCCAAUAGACCCUCGCCCCUUUCACAUGUACUCGUGAAGGGUGACUUAGUCAUCUUUCCAAGCAAACAAGACUCGCAUGUGUCAUCUUCCCUAAGGUCGAAUGACUCCAACACUCCAUCCUUUUGGAGUUGGGCUAUGCGUUUCUUGUUGACAUGUCCAAGACGACAAUGCCACAAGGAUGCUUUAUCCAUACUAGUGGAAGAAUCAAUAUUCAAAACAUCAUUUCCUAAGUUAUCAACAAUCAUAACGGUUUCAUAUAUUCCAUUACAUGGUAUAGCUUCAAAGUAAAAGACACCAUUUAGAUAAGCCAAAAUAGAACCAUUCUCAUUAUUAAAAGAAAAUCUAAAUCCUUGUCUAUAUAAACCAUGAAAUGAAAUGAUGUUUCUUGCCAUUUCUGGCGAAUAGCAACAAUUGUUCAAAUCUAAAACUAAACUAUUCCUAAGCACUAAGGAAUACACUCCAAUCUUGGUCACAGGCGACGAUCUUCUGUUCCCCAUGAUUAGAUUGAUCCUUCCUUGCUCCACAUCCCUACUUCUUCUUAGUCCCUGCACAUUAGAACAAAUGUGAUAACCACAACCGGUAUCAAGAACCCAAGAAAUAGCAUGAUUAGAAUCGUUAGAUUUGAUUGUAUAUAUACCUGCGAAAGAUGGCUUGAUCUUUCCUUCUUUGAUUGCUUGCAGGUAAUCCGGGCAGCUUCUCUUCCAAUGUCCUAUCUUGUGGCAGUGGUGGCACUCUGCCUCCUUCGGGUUAGAGCAGGGCUUAGCGGGAUCAACUUUGGUCCCACUAGAAGAGGCACCAUCUCGGGCUUUCACCUUGCGAUAGUUCUUCGAUGAAGCUUUCCUCUUCUUUCCCUUCCCUUGUCCAAUAGCCAAGACAGGAGCAGCGGGCGGAUUGGGAGUAGGUGCAACAGACUUGUCUUUGAAGUUGCUCUCAGCAACCCUCAAGAGACCUUGGAGCUUGCUUAGGGUGACCUCUUCUUUGUUCAUGUGGUAGGUCAUCCUAAAUUGGUUGUACAUCGGAGGCAAAGAGUGAAGCACCAUGUCGAUCGCCAAAUCUUCACCGAAGUCAACAUUUAACUUGCGAAGGCGGUCGACAUACCUUUGCAUCUUUUGCAAGUGCACGGUAAGAGAUUCUCCAUGACCCAUCUUCGCGGAAAUCAUGUUAGUGAAAAUCUCGUACCUCUCUUGUCUCGCGUUUUGGUGGUACCUCUCCAAUAAGUCUUGGUGCAUCUCGUACGGGUACAUGUCCUCGUAGGACUUUUGGAAUUCGGAGUUCAUGGUGGCAAUCAUGAUGCAAUGUACCUUCGUUGCAUCUCGCUCAUGAGUCUCAAAAGCGGUGAUUUCGGCCGGAGUAGCGAUUUCGGGGUUGAUUUUCUCGAGCUUCUCAUCGAGGACAUACUCCUUAUCCUCAUAGCGAGCAAUGGUGCGAAUGUAUCUUAUCCAUUCGCUAAAGUUCGUUCCAUCGAAGGUGACCUUUUGGCAAAGGCUCAUCAACGUGAAAGAACUAGCAGCAGCGUUGUUUGCGUUCGACAUCUACAAUUAGAAAAGGACAAAGAUAGAUUAGAAUAAGAAUCCCUAAUUAUCACCCAAUAAGAAAAUUAGGGCUAGGAUCCAACAAUAACAUUUACAUACUAGAAAAGGGAUGCCGUAAUCUAACAUGCAAAUAAAUUGAAGGUAAGUGAAUGACGAUUCACUAAUUCUCCAUCACAAAACUUAAACUAUUAGUCCUAAGUGUUUUUGAGAAUUCCUAGGUUCGGAUGAGAUUCAUUGAAACUAUUCAAUGGCAUGUUUAAAUCUCGAUAUGCCCCUCUUGUUUGUGACUGGGAUACCGAGG